GUAAAUGUGAAAUGGAACAUAAUGUUCAUUUUUGGGUGAAAUAUCCCUUUAAAAAAUAAUGCACUGGGCAGUAGAUGUGUAGAAGUUUGUGAAUGACAGGCAUUUCAAUUCCAUGAGGGCCUGAUUAUAAUCAAAACCAAUUAACUUCCAUCACACUCCUCUGAAAACCCAGACUUUUCCUCUUAGGACAUUCAUGUGCACUCAUCUCAUAAACAGGAUCAUUCGAAGAUCACCUGAAGGCAGAAAUAUACUGGCAAGUCUCAACCAAAUCAAUUGGCUUUCAUUUAGCACUGAGCGGCGAGAGGAUAAAUAAAGAAGUCAGGAGGGGAAGAGAGGAAUAUGAGAGAGGAGCACAGCUGAGAGGAGAUUAAACUACUGAUGGCCAACAGAGAGAAACUGAUCUACUAACAGCUGAACACACACAUCUGUGAGCAUCAGUUUGGUAUUGUCUGCCGGUACUCACCUUCCCCCACAAUCCCAAGAACCUCAAACCUGUGCAUCACAUCACUGGAGGCCGGGUUCCUCAUCCAGUCAAACAGCCGCCGGGCGACAGAGGAGGAGCUCACGGGGGCGAGUGGUCGUCGUGGUUACGGGCUGGCAUGGGGCGGCCUGCACGCGUUCCGCCGAUCUGGACGCGCGUCAAUCCCUCACAUCCCCAAACGCGCCCGAGAAACGCACCGCUGCGCGUCAACAGCAACAGUUUCCAGACUGGCGUCAUUGGAGCCGAUUCCAAUGAUGGAUGUUGGUCGCAGACACGCCCCUUCAGGGAUAUCAACC
rnacentral:lncRNA from 12 species